rnacentral:lncRNA from 1 species
ACUGGCUUUGGACAUAAUAAAAUUUCGGUGUCGAUUGUUGAGUUCUCAUAUUAUUCAUAUUGUUGCCAUUUAUUCCCGUUUGCAUUUCACGCUAACCCAAACUGUUCGAUGACGACAUCUUAACUAUCAAUGUUCAGCACAUACAGCUUCAGGUUUACACAUUUGAAUCACACACAAAGUGCUUGCAGAAAACCUUGCUAUUCAGCUUUCAAUUCACGUUUAACUUAGCAUUUUUAUGCAAUCCUUGUAAUGUGAGAACAUCCUGCAAUUUAUAGAGUUAGUAAAUGAAGAAAUAACUAGAGUUCUGANNNNNNNNNNNNNNNNNNNNNNNNNNNNNNNNNNNNNNNNNNNNNNNNNNNNNNNNNNNNNNNNNNNNNNNNNNNNNNNNNACUCUUCCUUGGUGGAAUUUAUAGAGUUAGUAAAUGAAGAAAUAACUAGAGUUCUGAUGCAACUCUUCCUUGGUGGAAGAGUUCUAGUUGAUUUGAACUUCUAAAUCCUUCCCUAUAUUGGAUAGUGGUCUCUUUGAUUAAGGACUCCUCCUCUUAUCAAUUAUGCAACAUUUUUUAUCAAGAGAUAUUAAAUACACCAAGUUAAGCUUAUCUCCUUCAUGUGCAAACCACAUGCUCGAUUCCGCCCGUUUUUGUGCAAUUGAGUGAUGGAUCUGGUUCAUUCCGAGUUCUUUUGUCAGUUUUCAAAACUAACCUUUAUUUGGGCCAACGAAUUCCCCAUUUUUUAAUGAUGAUAAACUAUGUGCUUUUCAUAAGCUUAGGCUCUAUUUCAACUCAGCUCAACAUUAACACAAUGUUAGAAACAUUUUUUUCUUUUUAUCACUUAUCAUUAAGGACCAGGUACAAUAGGUUAUAAACAUCAUUAUUCAAAGUGUAAACAUCACUUAUUUAAAGCACAACCUUUUUCUCUCUUUUGGCAUCAUCGAAAAGUUGCAUAAAAAUGUGAGAUAACCAGAUAUUAAAACUUACUCAUGACCACUUGGCUACUUCAUAUACAAUCAUGGAUUAAUCAUCAUAUUUCAAGCUAAGAAUUUUAACCAUCAAAGAAAUAUGAACAAACAGUUAGAGCAAAAAUAGUCAAUUUCAUUGAUGAUUGAUAAGAUUCUACCACAAAGAAUAAGAAGAAAUAAAAAUACUGAAAACAUGAGCAAAAGAAAUGAAACAUCCCAAAAUGGGUCAGUGGUUAAUCUACACUAGGCUAAGAGGCUUUAGGCUGGGAAGAACUAGGUGCUUGGUUUUUGAGUUGGAGGAAAACAUCCCAAACCGGGUCGCUGCUUGGUCUACACUAGGCUAGGAGGCUUUAGGCUGGGAAGAACUAGGUGAUUGGUUUUGACUUGGAGGAAUUUCAGCACACCUUGAAGAAUGCCAUCAUUCUUCUCUUUUUCUCUUGCCAAAUCAGUUCUGAAAGCAUCUCUCUUAGUCUCCAUCUUAACCAACAUCUUCUUCAGUCUUUCAAUCUUAGCAUCCUUAACCUCACUUUCUUGCACCAAGGCACUGACCUUGCUAUUCACUGGUACCUUUUUGGAUGAACUAGGUUCUUUUGGAGUGACAUUGACUUCAUAAUCGCAAGCAAGCAUAGUAUUAACCCAAAAAUGAUCCAUGCUUGUACUAACCACCUUUUCUUAGGUAUAUUAAACGUUGACUUCAUAAUCGCAGGCAAAUAGAGUGUUAACCCAAAAAAUGAUCAAUGCUUGUACUAACCUCCAACCUUUUUUUAGGUACAUUGAAACAUGCAAACACAAUUGAGAAUGAAGCCAUAUGGAAUGGUAUGAGUUUUGGUGCCAUUGAUAACUCUAUCAAUAAGCUGGAUUAUAACUUUCUGUCACUUUCUUCAGCAGGUCUGCGAGGUUUUCCUCUACUGAUGAACCAAGUUCAUUUCCCCAAAGAACCAUUGCACAUGCGUCUUUGGCUAAACUCACAAGAGUGGGUGAAGAAUCAGCCACUCUUGUCCCCUUUCCCUUCACAGUACUCCUAGCACUCUUGGUCUUUUUUUUUAUUUUUACCACCAACUUCUCCAGAUUCCGCAGUCUCAACACUUGCUAUAGACCCUACAAAUUUAUUUUCCAAAUUUGCAGCAACUUUAGAAAUUUUCACAAAAGAAACUUUAGAAUCAAAAGAUUCAAUUUCGGAAGAUCCACUUUAUUCCACCUGAGUAGCAGACUUAAAAGAAUUUAGGUAGUUUAAUACGGUCAGGAGUCUUGAACGUAACUGGUUCACCUUUAAUGGAUAAGUUCAAAAGAACUUUGGUAUUUGAUAGGACUCUGCUCAUGAUCCAAAUAUAGUUAUUUCAAAUUAUGCAGAGUGUAGAAAACAUACCGUGUUAUCUUGUUGAACCAGGUUCUUUACUGAUAAUUCUCUUGUAUAAGUCUAAAUUUGCCAAAAUAGAGAAAAUAUCAUUAGAUAUUAAUGAGUCAAUUUAAUACAUGGAACAAGAGUGUACUGUGGAAAGUAUGAGACUGAGCAACAUUUUAUCUGACUAUACACAAUUUACAUACUUUCUAACCAAAUAUAUUUUUGUCAUUUUUCUCGUUUGACCUUGAACUAGUCCUUUUAGGUGAUCUUAAUCAUCUCUAAAUCCAACUUGUUCCUCUCAAAGUGAUCUCCACUUAAGCCUUUUGUUAAGAUGUCAGAAAUUUGCUUGUCAGCAGCACAAAACUCCACAGUGAUCAAGCCUUUCUCAUAGUUGUCCCUCAAAAAUGGUGUCUAACAUUUAUGUGCUUAGUUAUCUUAUGAUGAACCAGAUUCUUAGUCAUACUAAUAGCUCUAGUGUUAUCAUAAAAAAUAGGGAUACAACCAACUUCAAUAACAAAACCCAUCAACUGUUGCUUGAUCCACAAUAAUUGAGCACAAUCAUGAAGCAACAACAACAUACUCAGCUUCAGUAGUAGAUAAGGCCACUGAAUUUUGCUUUUUAGUAGCCCAUGGCACAACACAUGAACCAAGGAAGUGUGACAUACCUGAGGUGCUCUUCCUAUCCAUUAGGAAACAUGCAUAAUUAGCAUCAGCAUAUCCCACUUAAAAUUACUACCUUUUGAAUACCAAAGGCAAAGGUCAGUGGUGCCUUUCAAGUAUCUCAAUAUUCUCUUUACAUUAGUCAAGUGGGACUCCUUUGGAUUUGCAUGUAAUCAAGCACAAAGAUUCUCUUUACAUUAGUCAACCACUUAAAAUUACUACCUUUUGAAUACCAAAGGCAAAGGUCAGUGGUGCCUUUCAAGUAUCUCAAUAUUCUCUUUACAUUAGUCAAGUGGGACUCCUUUGGAUUUGCAUGUAAUCAAGCACAAAGACCUACACUGCACAUAAUGUUAGGUCUGCUAGUAGUGAGAUAUAAAAGAGAAACAAUAAUUCUUCCUAUACAUCUUCUUAUCAACAGAUGAACCAGGUUUAACUAUAUCCAAUUUCAUGAAUGUUGUAAUAAGAGUGUCAAUUUUUUUGGAUGUUCCUUCCUAGUUUUCUUACUGAGCAGUAGGAUCAUUGACAGGUUUCCUCGAGGUUUGAGGAUCAGUUCCUCUCUAGUCAGUUCCCCCUAUCAUGUUGCCUAGCUGGAAGGACCUCUUCCAUUACAUGUUCCUUCAUAUGAUGCAUCUUCAAGAUGAACUGUGGUUUCACCAUUUGAAUUUCUUAUCAGCCCAAUCUCUUCAUUAUAUUGUUUCUACCUCUCAGAAAGAAUGUUAGUUUUUUUAACAUAGUUCUUUUAUUGUAUAUUUUAUAAGCUUUACUAUGUGACGGAUAUCCCAAGAAUACUGCCUCAUCACUUUUGUGAUCAUACUUACCUAGGGAGUUUUUGCUAUUUUUGUGCACAAAGCACUUGCAUCUAAAUACCCUACGAUGGGAUAUAUUCAGCUUUAUCCCUUUAAGUGACUCAUAGGGAAUCUUCUUAACAAGAGGUCUAGUCAUGCAACUAUUUAUAAUGUAGCAUGCAAAAAUUCAGCAAAAUUUAGCAUUUUCAGAUUCAGUUCCAUGAUCAGACCCAAUUGAUAAAAGUUGAUUAUCUAGUUGUUUUGAGUUUUUCUAACAAAAGAAGUAAACAUGUCAAAUGCUUCAUCUUUAGAUAAUAAAAACAAUGUCCAACUAAACCUAGAGUAAUCAUGAACAAGCACCAUCAAAUAUAUUUUACCACAUCCGCUUUAUGUUCUCAUUGGACCACAAAGAUCCAUAUGGACCAGUUCCAUCGUUCUGGUGGUGCUUACCANNNNNNNNNNNNNNNNNNNNNNNNNNNNNNNNNNNNNNNNNNNNNNNNNNNNNNNNNNNNNNNNNNNNNNNNNNNNNNNNNNNNNNNNNNNNNNNNNNNNNNNNNNNNAUCCUCUUAAAUUAAUAAAAAGAUUUAGUAAAGCUUCAAAUUGAUGUUAGGCAGCCCUGUUCCAGAUCCUUGGGGACUAAUUUGUUAAGUUGACUCAGACUUGCAUGUCCAAGUCUUUUGUGCCAAAGGAGGGGAUCAUUAUCCAACACACUUACGCAAGUGAGUUCAUUUUGUGAAUGUGUGGAGAAAUCUACAAUGCAUGUAUUGUUUACUCUUUUUUCCAGCAAAUCAAUCUUGUCAGUGGUAAAAUUAAUCACAAAAUAUUUGGUAGAGGUGAAUGCUACCAAGUCACCUCUAUCAUACAAUUGUGAUUGUCUUAUUAGGUGAUAUUUUACGCUAUCUAUUAAGUAGUCAUUCUCAAUAGAGUGAGAAUCAGUCUUACCUACCUUUCCGACACCAGUGGUCUCACCUUUAUUCCCAUUUCCAAAUGAGACAUUACCUUCUUUGAGGUCCUCAAGUGAAAGAAACUGGUUCUUACUUCCUGUCACAUGCUUUAAGCAGCCACUAUCCAUGUACCAUAUUUGGCUGCUACCCUUAACUUGGACCCACAAAAGGAAAUCAGGGGUUAGUCUUAGGAACCCAAACUAGUUUGGGUCACUUUCUAUAUGCAAAAGGGUGAAUCAGAUUCUUUUUAGCCCAACCUGGCAGCCUAUUUUUCCGUUGAACAAAUUCUUUAUUCGUUUGACUAGCCUUUUCUUUUGCAAUACAUUCAUAUUUAUAGUGACCAGUUUUAUCACAGUAUGUGCAAAUUAUGUCUCAUGAAGUGUAAGGUAUUUGCUUUUGGAAUCCCACUUAGGUGCAGAGGUCCCGUAGCCAAGUCCUCACUUAUUGCUACUAUGGUGUUCUUGUAGCCAUGAAAGUGCAUCGGAUGACCCAUUCCAUUUACAAGUUCUAUGUAGAUCGUGCUUAACCUUGUUUAGAUCCUCCUUAAGGACUCUUAUCUGCUCAUCUUUUUGGUACUACUCAUCUUUAAUUUUUCCUAAAUUUUCUUCUAAAAUGAGUUGUGUGUGAUCAAAUUUCUUUGUACCAGUUCCUAAUUUCAAUUUUAAAUUUUUAGUUCUAAGCUCUAUGACACUGGUAUCAAGUUCAAGAACUUAGUUCUUCAACUCAGCAUUUUUACUAUCACUUUCAUUACCCCUAAAUUCUAGAUUUUUGCACUUGGCUUUUAAAAUCACACACUCCUUAGACAGCUGUUACACCCCUUAUUUUAUUCAAACUCUACUUAAUCCUCUUAAAUUAAUAAAAAGAUUUAGUAAAGCUUGCAAAGGAUUUUCUAUUUUGAAAGUGACAAAAAUUGUGUGUUCAAAGGGAAAUACUCAGAGUCGCUACCUGAAAUUUGAUUUCGGUGUGUCAUAUUGCCUAUUUUUCCGUUGAACAAAUUCUUUAUUCGUUUGACUAGCCUUUUCUUUUGCAAUACAUUCAGAUUUAUAGUGAUCAGUUUUAUCACAGUAUGUGCAAAUUAUGUCUCAUGAAGUGUAAGGUAUUUGCUUUUGGAAUCCCACUUAGGUGCAGAGGUCCCGUAGCCAAGUCCUCACUUAUUGCUACUAUGGUGUUCUUGUAGCCAUGAAAGUGCAUCGGAUGACCCAUUCCAUUUACAAGUUCUAUGUAGAUCGUGCUUAACCUUGUUUAGAUCCUCCUUAAGGACUCUUAUCUGCUCAUCUUUUUGGUACUACUCAUCUUUAAUUUUUCCUAAAUUUUCUUCUAAAAUGAGUUGUGUGUGAUCAAAUUUCUUUGUACCAGUUCCUAAUUUCAAUUUUAAAUUUUUAGUUCUAAGCUCUAUGACACUGGUAUCAAGUUCAAGAACUUAGUUCUUCAACUCAGCAUUUUUACUAUCACUUUCAUUACCCCUAAAUUCUAGAUUUUUGCACUUGGCUUUUAAAAUCACACACUCCUUAGACAGCUGUUACACCCCUUAUUUUAUUCAAACUCUACCUAAUCCUCUUAAAUUAAUAAAAAGAUUUAGUAAAGCUUGCAAAGGAUUUUCUAUUUUGAAAGUGACAAAAAUUGUGUUCAAAGGAAAAUAUUCAGAGUCGCUACCUGAAAUUUGAUUUCGGUGUGUCAGAUUACCGUUUUUCUAAAAAUAAUUCUUUUCCUUUCAAAACACUUCAGACUCCAAAAAUUAAAUCUGCACCAGAGAUAAGGGUAAGGAGGUUCAUUUGACUCGGGGAAAGGUGUUAGGCACUUCCCAGGUCCCGUGAACGUCAGAGUUGCGUACUCGAUCUAGUUGGCUUUUAGAAUAUUCAAUUUAGGUAAAAAAAACACAAAAAUAAACGUACAAAAGGGCUCGAGUUCGUCCCCACCUAAUAAAAAAAAAGUAAAAUACUACACUAUGCUUCCUUCACAAACGCGUCACGGCCUCAAAAAUAUUUACAAAGUACUUCGAGGCAUAUCCCGAAGAUAAUAAUAUUUACAAACUUCAUGGGAAAUUUUCCGGAUAAAUUUAAUUAAGGGAGGACCUCUCGCCUCAAAACCACAAAAAUCCUAAAGUUUGCCUACCCAGGUGGGGUCGAUCUAUAAUACGUUACUACGAAACCCAUGUAGGCAAAAAUACAAAUAAAAGCAAAAUUAAGUCCAGUUCCCCAAUUGCAUCUCAGACCCAACAUUUGUACAUCUUUUUAAUAUCCUUUUCAAUAUCUUUAAUUGAGUUUUUUUUCUCCAGCCAAGCAAUCAUUUGAAUCUCAAACAGACGUUCAACUCUACUAAAUAAAAUUCAAACCUCCAUUGCCCGUUUAUCUUAUUUACUUAACAAGUAAUUACCCAAAAAAAAAAAGCAACAAAAAACAAAAAAAAGGUAGAACAAUCAAUCAAAUAAAGGAACUGAACCCAACAGAUUUGUUUGAGCAAAAUAUUUCAAUGAUAGAUACUAACAAACAAACAGGACAUUCACGAAAUUAAUCAAUAAAAUAGUAUCACCAGGUAAUUGCGUACAUGAAACUAAGGAAGAGUAAACAGAUAGGAAAAGGAUAAGAGUGGACCUCAAAUUAGCAAAUGGUCACCUUUGAUAACUGGACUGAAAGUCGAACAAUGUGUAUUCUUAAACAAAUCUGAAGACGAGCAAGGAACAACUAUCGAACCUUCGAACUAAGAACGGAACCGACGAACGGACACCCGAAUCGAAAAAUCCAAUCUCUGACUCAACUAAGCUCCACUUCACACGAUGUUGCACUGCAAACGAAGAGGGAGAAGAAGAGCAGCAGAGGCUUCAGUGAUUUUGGAGAUUGGAGAAGGUGGUGAAGAUGGUUGACGGCGUUUUUUUGGCGAGCUGAUUUGGUUGAUGAUGAAGGAGAUGGCUGCUACCUCUAUCUAUGUGCGGGUGCGUUUUUCCGGCGAGUUUAAGGUGUCCAAGUGGUGGUGACAGACGUGGUUGUUAAGGGGUGUUCUGGUGCAAGUUUUUUGAAGAAGAAGGGUUAGCUAUGGUGGUUUUGUGAGAAAGAUGAAGGUUGUUGAUGUGGGAGGUGAUGGGCGGCGGUUAUAGCUGCGUUUUCCAGCGAGUUAGUGGAAGGUGGCGACGGGAGAUGGAGGCUGAAGGGUUGUCGCUGUUAGGAGUUCCAGCGAGUUUUUUUUGUCCCAGGUCUAAUGGAUG